UCCAGUUGAUCCUGCUGGAGGGUACUGCUAUCAGACUUCGAUUAAGCCAUGCAAGUUCGCUCACUCACUUGGGUGGGCGGCACAAGGCUGAGUAACACGUGGUCAAUCUGCCCUAAGGACGGGUAUAACCUCGGGAAACUGAGGCUAACCCCCGAUAGGUGCUCUAUGCUGGAACGCUUGAGCAUUUAAAUGGCUGGUGAAUUGGAGCCAGUCCGCCUUAGGAUGAGACUGCGCCGGAUUAUGGUAGUUGGUGAGGUAAUGGCUCACCAAGCCGAUAAUCUGUAGGGGCCAUGGGAGUGGUGGCCCCCAGAAGGGCACUGAGACAAGGGCCCUAGCCCUACGGGGUGCAGCAGGCGCGAAACCUCUGCAAUGCGCGAAAGCGUGACAGGGGAAGUCUGAGUGGCGACAGCACAGCUGUCGUCUUUUGCUAAGUGUAAACAGCUUGGCGAAUAAGGGUGCGGGCAAGACUGGUGGCAGCCGCCGCGGUAACACCAGCGCCUCGAGUGGUACCCACGGAUAUUGGGCCUAAAGCGUCCGUAGCCGGAUUGAUAAGUCCGCUGUGAAAUGUUGGGGCUCAACCCUAACGCUUGCAGUGGAUACUGUCAGUCUUGGGAACGGGGGAGGAUCGGAGUACUUCCGGGGUAGGGGUAAAAUCCGUUGAGCCUGGAAGGACUACCAGUGGCGAAGGCGCCGAUCCAAAACGUGUCCGACGGUGAGGGACGAAAGCUGGGGGAGCGAACGGGAUUAGAUACCCCGGUAGUCCCAGCUGUAAAUUAUGCAGACUGAGGUGUUGCGUGUGAGUAAUCACAUGCAGUGCUGUAGCUAGGUGUUAAGUCUGCCGCCUGGGGAGUACGAUCGCAAGAUUUAAACUUAAAGGAAUUGGCGGGGGAGCACCACAAGCCGUGGAUGCUACGGUUUAAUUGGAUACAACGCCGGAAAUAUCACCAAGGGCGACGGCAGUAUGAAGGUCAGACUAAAGAUCUUGCCUGACGAGCCGAGAGGUAUUGCAUGGCCAUCGUCAGCUCGUGGUGUGAACUGUCCUGUUAAGUCAGGUAACGAGUGAGACCCAUGUUCUUAGUUGCUAAUCUUUUCUCCGGAAAGGAUGCACUCUAAGGAGACUGCCCGCGCUAAGUGGGAGGAAGGAGUGGGCGACGGUAGGUCAGUAUGGUCCGAAACCCUUGGGCUACACGCGGCAUACAGUGGAUGGAACAAUGGGCAGCGACUCCGAAAGGAGAAGCCAAUCCUCUAAAUCCAUCCGUAGCUCGGAUUGAGGGUUGCAACCCACCCUCAUGAAGAUGGAAUGGCUAGUAAUCGCGUGUCACUAUCGCGCGGUGAAUGUGUCCCCGCUCCUUGCACACACCGCCCGUCAAGUCACCCAAAUGUUUUUUCGGUGAGGCCUCGGUUCUUGCCGAGUUC
rnacentral:rRNA from 1 species